UUGUUGGAGAGUUUGAUCCUGGCUCAGGACGAACGCUGGCGGCGUGCUUAACACAUGCAAGUCGAGCGGUAAGGCCCUUUCGGGGGUACACGAGCGGCGAACGGGUGAGUAACACGUGGGUGACCUGCCCUCAGCUCUGGGAUAAGCCCGGGAAACUGGGUCUAAUACCGGAUAUUCUCUUCUCCUCGCAUGGGGGGUUGUGGAAAGUCCUGGGCUUUAUUGUCUGGGUUCGGCUGGGGAUGGGCCCGCGGCCUAUCAGCUUGUUGGUGGGGUGAUGGCCUACCAAGGCGACGACGGGUAGCCGGCCUGAGAGGGCGACCGGCCACACUGGGACUGAGACACGGCCCAGACUCCUACGGGAGGCAGCAGUGGGGAAUAUUGCGCAAUGGGCGGAAGCCUGACGCAGCGACGCCGCGUGGGGGAUGACGGCCUUCGGGUUGUAAACCUCUUUCGACCUUGACGAAGGCUUCUGGGUUAAUGUCUGGGGGUUGACGGUAGGGGUAGAAGAAGCACCGGCCAACUACGUGCCAGCAGCCGCGGUAAUACGUAGGGUGCGA
rnacentral:rRNA from 1 species